rnacentral:rRNA from 1 species
GAUGAACGCUGGCGGCGUGCCUAAUACAUGCAAGUCGAGCGAACAGAUGAGGAGCUUGCUCCUCUGACGUUAGCGGCGGACGGGUGAGUAACACGUGGAUAACCUACCUAUAAGACUGGGAUAACUUCGGGAAACCGGAGCUAAUACCGGAUAAUAUAUUGAACCGCAUGGUUCAAUAGUGAAAGACGGUUUUGCUGUCACUUAUAGAUGGAUCCGCGCCGCAUUAGCUAGUUGGUAAGGUAACGGCUUACCAAGGCAACGAUGCGUAGCCGACCUGAGAGGGGGGAGGGGACAAGGGGAAAUGGAGAAAGGGCAAGGCCCCGAGGGGGGGAAGAAAGAAGGAAAUGUCGCAAAGGGGGGAAAGAUUGAAGGAAGAACGGCGGGGUGAUGAAGAAGGGCCUCGGAUGGGAAAACCUCUGUAGUAGGGAAAAAAAAAAGGGGAAGGAACGAAGCAAGGUUGGAAGGAAACGAAAAAGAAAGCCACGGCAAACAAAG